AAGACUUUUCAUGACCCACACAGUUUUAGUUUUAUUCAUUUUUAAUUCAUUUCUCUUCUCGUUUCUGGACAUCUGUCGAAGUCUUGGCAGUCUCAUCCUCCUGUCACGAUAAAAGCAGAGAUUUUAUUCGAACAAGAGUGAGUGAAAGGCAAUUUUCUUUUGCAGAUGACUGUUUUCCCCUCACGCUGCUAACCACCACUUUAGAGUUAAAAAUAACCUUAAAAAACUUCGCUCCAUCUGGUCACCUUGUCUUCCAUGUAUGAUUUUCUCAACAUUUCUACGUCCUCUCCAGCAGAUGUGACACAGCCGAAGAAACACCUGAGCCGAUGUGACUGAAAGCCAAUUAUCCGGCCUGUCACAUCGGGGGGAUGGAAAACUUCCACCGCUGUCUCGUUUUUUGACACUGGAACUCGAACAGACCAACAGGACGGCAGUGUGUGUGUGGGAGACCUUCACAGGAGGAGGUCUGACGAGCUGUCUCCAUGUCAGGGUCCGAACAAAAAC